rfam:Thiothrix eikelboomii strain ATCC 49788 genome assembly, contig: EI61DRAFT_scaffold00003.3
CUUCGUCGAUUUGUUGCGGGCAAAUGAAGUGGAUGUGCGAAUCAAUCCCGCCAGCGGUGAGGAUGUGGCCUUCGCCUGCAAUUGCUUCCGUGCCUGCGCCGACCAGAAUGUUCACGCCAGCUUGGGUGUCGGGGUUGCCUGCUUUGCCGAUGCCGACAAUGCGCCCGUGUUUGAUACCGAUGUCGGCUUUGACAAUGCCCCAAUGGUCGAGGAUCAGUGCGUUGGUAAUCACCACAUCGACGACUUCGGCAUCGUUGCGCUGGCAUUGUCCCAUGCCGUCGCGGAUG